GCAGCACUUUUUUCUUCUUUCAUUGGAACCACAGCCGAUUCUUCAGGAUGAGUUUCCUCAAUGACACUGUCAUCCUUCAAUUGAGCAGCAUUCUCAGACUCCAUUCCUUACAAAAUCCCGCAACAACAAACUCACUUUCAAAUUUCAAAUUUAGAUAAAAUUCCCCACACUUUCUCAGCAACCAACCAGAAUCAAAUGAUGAACUUGGACAGUAGCAGAGGAGUGAAGUUUUAACUGUUGAAAGAGACCAGAGAGCAAAUGGCAUAACAUAAAAUCUAUAUAAAAAGCGUAAUAAAGAAGUGACAGAAUCUGAGUGUAAAGGUGUAAAGAUUGGUAUAUCUGAGCUAAGUUAGUAAUAGAC
rnacentral:misc_RNA from 1 species